rnacentral:rRNA from 1 species
GACGAACGCUGGCGGCGUGCUUAACACAUGCAAGUCGAACGGUGAACCGCCUUCGGGCGGGGAUCAGUGGCGAACGGGUGAGUAACACGUGGGCAACCUGCCCCCGGCUCUGGGAUAACUCCAAGAAAUUGGGGCUAAUACCGGAUGUGACCGCCGACCGCAUGGUCGGUGGUGGAAAGAUUUAUGGGCUGGGGAUGGGCCCGCGGCCUAUCAGCUUGUUGGGGGGGUAGUGGCCUACCAAGGCGACGACGGGUAGCCGGCCUGAGAGGGUGACCGGCCACACUGGGACUGAGACACGGCCCAGACUCCUACGGGAGGCAGCAGUGGGGAAUAUGGCGCAAUGGGCGAAAGCCUGACGCAGCGACGCCGCGUGGGGGAUGACGGCCUUCGGGUUGUAAACCUCUUUCAGCAGGGACGAAGCGCAAGUGACGGUACCUGCAGAAGAAGCACCGGCCAACUACGUGCCAGCCGCCGCGGUAACAC